AUUGAACGCUGGCGGCAGGCCUAACACAUGCAAGUCGAGCGAGUGGCGGACGGGUGAGUAAUGUAUGGGGAAAUGCCAGAUAGAGGGGGAUAACUACUGGAAACGGUGGGUAAUACCGCAUACUAUCGGAUGAACCCAUAUGGGAUUAGCUAGUGGGUGGGGUAAAGGCUCACCUAGGCGACGAUCCCUAGCUGGUCUGAGAGGAUGACCAGCCACACUGGAACUGAGACACGGCCCAGACUCCUACGGGAGGCAGCAGUGGGGAAGAUUGCACAAUGGGCGCAAGCCUGAUGCAGCCAUGCCGCGUGUAUGAAGAAGGUCUUAGGGUUGUAAAGUACUUUCAGCGGGGAGGCGUUACCCGCAGAAGAAGCACCGGCUAACUCCGUGCCAGCAGCCGCGGUAAUUC
rnacentral:rRNA from 1 species